GUGGCCUAGUGUUUAGAGCAUCCACCUGGGAUGCAGGAUGUCGUGGGUUCAAUCCCCAGCCAAGUCA